GACGAACGCUGGCGGCGCGCCUAACACAUGCAAGUCGAACGGAGCUUAGAGAGCUUGCUUUUUAAGCUUAGUGGCGAACGGGUGAGUAACGCGUGAGUAACCUGCCCUAGAGUGGGGGACAACAGUUGGAAACGACUGCUAAUACCGCAUAAGCCCACGGUACCGCAUGGCACUGAGGGAAAAGGAUUUAUUCGCUUUAGGAUGGACUCGCGUCCAAUUAAGCUAGUUGGUGAGGUAACGGCCCACCAAGGCGACGAUUGGUAGCCGGACUGAGAGGUUGAACGGCCACAUUGGGACUGAGACACGGCCCAGACUCCUACGGGAGGCAGCAGUGGGGGAUAUUGCACAAUGGGGGAAACCCUGAUGCAGCGACGCCGCGUGGAGGAAGAAGGUUUUCGGAUUGUAAACUCCUGUCGUUAGGGACGAUAAUGACGGUACCUAACAAGAAAGCACCGGCUAACUACGUGCCAGCAGCCGCGGUAAGUCGUGUGACA
rnacentral:rRNA from 1 species